GCUGGCGGCACGCCUAAUACAUGCAAGUCGAACGAAGUAGCAAUACUUAGUGGCAGACGGGUGAGUAAUAUGUAGGUAUCUUCCCAUUGGUGAGGAAUAACACGAGGAAACUUGUGCUAAUACCUCAUAAGUCUUUACGGAGAAAGCUUUAUGCGCCGAUGGAUGAGCCUGCACUUGAUUAGUUUGUUGGUAGGGUAAUGGCCUACCAAGACAAUGAUCAAUAGCUGAUUUGAGAGGAUGAUCAGCCACAUUGGGACUGAGACACGGCCCAAACUCCUACGGGAGGCAGCAGUAGGGAAUCUUGCACAAUGGGGGAAACCCUGAUGCAGCGAUGCCGCGUGAGUGAAGAAGGCCUUUGGGUUGUAAAGCUCUUUCGUCGGGGAAGAAAAUGACUGUACCCGAAUAAGAAGGUCCGGCUAACUUCGUGCCAGCAGCCGCGGUAAUACGAAGGGACCUAGCGUAGUUCGGAAUUACUGGGCUUAAAGAGUUCGUAGGUGGUUAAAAAAGUUGGUGGUGAAAUCCCAGAGCUUAACUCUGGAACUGCCAUCAAAACUUUUUAGCUAGAGUAUGAUAGAGGAAAGCAGAAUUUCUAGUGUAGAGGUGAAAUUCGUAGAUAUUAGAAAGAAUACCGAUUGCGAAGGCAGCUUUCUGGAUCAUUACUGACACUGAGGAACGAAAGCAUGGGUAGCGAAGAGGAUUAGAUACCCUCGUAGUCCAUGCCGUAAACGAUGUGUGUUAGACGUUGGAAAUUUAUUUUCUGUGUCGCAGCGAAAGCAAUAAACACACCGCCUGGGGAGUACGACCGCA
rnacentral:rRNA from 1 species